GCCAAGUGGGGAAUAUUGAUCCCUUUGCCCUAUUGGUUCCCCUGUGUUUUGGGUGGGGCUUAGCGCUAUAUAGAGGGUGGAUUCGGUUAGGUAUGGGGCUGACGCAGUUCCUGUUGCUGGCGGUGGAAGUAGCAGCUGUGCUGUGAGUGGGCAGGGGGUUAAUUGGUUUCCGUAACCAUCCCUUAGCCAUUGGUUGCGGUAUAUUGAUCGCAUGGUUGGUGAAAUGCAUGCCGCUGGGGAGUUGCGUCCUGUUGCUGUUGGGGAGGUGGUGAAGGCAGCCCCAGCAGUGGUAUAAGUCUUCCGGUUGGUGGUUUACUGGGGAACGUGGACCUCGCCGCUGUUUUGUCUGUCCGGUUACCAGUGAUCGACAUCCGUGUAUCCUGUGGAGAACGUGGAUUCGUGGGGGUGGCCAGAGUGGGACUUUGGUGCCAGGAGUUGCUCGGAAUGCUGCUAUUCCGCUGCCGAUUGCGGCAUCUAGUCUAUGCAUAUACUGCCUCAAGAUUUUGUAUUUUGGUUGUUCUGGUAUGUUUUAUUUUAUUGCAUGUAUUAAUUAUUUGUGUUUGCCUUGGUUCGUUAAUUUAUUUUGAUUGUGAUUUUGUAUUUAUCUUGGGGGCGGUUAAGCAGGCCUAGCGGGGUAAUGGAAAGCGGCGGUACCCUACUAACCUGGUGUUUUGUUCCCUCAUCUGUGUUUCAGGGCUAGUAGCCUUGCGCAGCACCCGCCUGGUGUGUGGUGGACGUCACCCGUGUGCGUGUGCUGUAAAGUCACCGGUGUUGGUGUAUUACGCCGUGUGCGGGGUCGAUGGCAGGGAUUGGGCGCCUACGGGGUUUUAGAUUUAUGGUGUGGACUACUGAACCUUUUCAUUGAAUGUAAUAAAACAAAUAACUUUUA